GAUGAACGCUGGCGGCGUGCUUAACACAUGCAAGUCACGGGGGUCCCGGGGGCAACUCUGGGAUAACCGGCGAACGGGUGCGUAACACGUGAACAACCUGCCCUCGUGUGGGGGAUAGCCAUGCUAACGCGUGGGUAAUACCGCAUACGUUCUCUUCGGGGAGUCCCGAGGAGAGGAAAGCUCCGGCGCGACGGGGAGGGGUUCGCGGCCUAUCAGCUAGGUUGGGGGUAACGGCCU
rnacentral:rRNA from 1 species